GACGAACGCUGGCGGCGUGCUUAACACAUGCAAGUCGAACGGAAAGGCCCCUUUGGGGGUGCUCGCGCGGCGGACGGGUGAGUAACACGUGAGUAACCUGCCCUUCACUUCGUGGUAAUUUCAUCAAACUGGGGCUACUACUGCCUAGGAAUCGUUCCUGCUUCGUGGGGGUUGGAGAGCUGCGUCGGGGGUGGGGGAUCGACUCGCUGGUUAUCAGCUUGUUGGGGGGGUGGUGGCUUACCAAGGCUUUGACGGGUAGCCGGCCUGGGAGGGCGGCCGGCCACAUUGGGACUGGGGUACGGCCCAGACUCCGAAGGGAGGGAGCAGUGGGGAAUAUUGCACAAUGGGCGGAAGCCUGAUGCAGCAACGCCGCGGGCGGGAUGACGGGCCUCGGGUUGUAAACCGCUUUCAGCAGGGGCGAAGCUGGUGGUGACGGUACCUGCAGAAGAAGCACCGGCUAACUACGUG
rnacentral:rRNA from 1 species